AGGGUUCUUGUGCUGCAUAACCACGCAAGUGGAAUUUGAAUUUGUUACUAUCCCAUUUUUUGCCUUUUACUUCAUAUAAGGUGCGAGGUGAUCACUGUAGUAGCACCUGUGUUCCAAGCAUGCCUUUCGGCUAUCGUCGCCCACGGGGUA
rnacentral:rRNA from 1 species